rnacentral:rRNA from 1 species
AGCAGCCGCGGUAAUUCCAGCUCCAAUAGCGUAUAUUAAAGUUGUUGCAGUUAAAAAGCUCGUAGUUGAACCUUGGGCCUGGCUGGCCGGUCCGCCUCACCGCGAGUACUGGUCCGGCUGGGCCUUUCCUUCUGGGGAACCUCAUGGCCUUCACUGGCUGUGGGGGGAACCAGGACUUUUACUGUGAAAAAAUUAGAGUGUUUAAAGCAGGCAAUCGCUUGAAUACAUUAGCAUGGAAUAAUGAAAUAGGACGUUCGAUCCUAUUUUGUUGGUUUCUAGGAUUGACGUAAUGAUUAAUAGGGAUAGUUGGGGGCAUUAGUAUUCAAUUGUCAGAGGUGAAAUUCUUGGAUUUAUUGAAGACUAACUACUGCGAAAGCAUUUGCCAAGGAUGUUUUCAUUAAUCAAGAACGAAAGUUAGGGGAUCGAAGACGAUCAGAUACCGUCGUAGUCUUAACCAUAAACUAUGCCGACUAGGGAUCGGAUGAUGUUAAUUUUUUAAUGACUCA